AAGUGCGUCUUGAUGCUCGUCAGGUGUGUCUUGAUGCUCAUCAGGUGUGUCUUGAUGCUUGUCAAGUGUUUCUUGAUGCUCGUCAAGUGUGUCUUGAUGCUUGUCAGGUGUGUCUUGAUGCUCGUCAGGUGUUUCUCGAUGCUCGUCAAGUGUGUCUUGAUGCUUGUCAGGUAUUUCUCAAUGCUCAUCAGGUGUGUCUCGAUGCUCGUCAGGUGUGUCUUGAUGCUCGUCAGGUGUGUCUCAAUGCUCGUCAGGUGUGUCUCGAUGCUUGUCAGGUGUUUCUCGAUGCUCGUUAAGUGUAUUGAUGCCUGUCAAGUGUGUUUUGAUGCUCGUCAGGUGUGUCUUGAUGCUCGUCAGGUCUGUCUUGAUGCUCAUCGGGUGUUUCUUGAUGUCAUCAGGUGUUUCUUGAUGCUCGUCAGGUGUGUCUUGAUGCUCUUCAAGUGUGUAUUGAUGCUCAUCAGGUGUGUCUUAAUGCUCAUCAUGUAUUUCUUGAUGCCCAUAAGGUGUGUCUUGAUGCUGGUCAGGUGUUUCUUUAGGAUCAUCAGGUUCUGAUUGUCAGAUCUGUAAAUGAAACCAGUUCUCUGAUGUUUGAAAUAAAAAGGUUUAAAACCCUGACAGGACUUCAUUCAGGGCAGAGGAACCUGAAUGAGGGGAAGCAUGGUGGACCAGUGGUUAGAGCUGUUGUCUCACAAGGUCACAGGUUCUCUCUGUACAACUUUGGGGUUCUAAAUACAGGUCAGGACUGGACCAAAGACUUGUCCAGGUGUCUCUGUGGUGCAGAUGGGUAGAAUCCAGCUAACCAGGUCAGAACAUGGUUCAGUUUUCUCACUUACUCCUUCUUCUCUUCCAGAACCAAAUCAACAGGUCCAGGACUGAGUUAGGAUCACAGACUGAACCGGACCAGAUUAAAGACUUUGACUCAGGAACUGAAAAAGACUGAAGAUGAAGAGGUGCUGAAGAUGUCUCAGUGUCCCUUUGGGCUUCGUCUCACAGGACAGCGUCCUCUCAGGAGGGACUCCAGAAUCACCAGACUGCAGACAGCCCAAUGACCAUGGACCCAGAACUCUCUGUGGUUCUGUCUGUAGUGAGUAGAUGUCCAUCAGGUUGUGUUUUUGAAACUCUUCAGGUUCAGUCAUGGAAAGGUAAAAAAAUAAGGGUCAUCUGGUCCUCAUCGGGUCUUAGACCCAGAUGAACACGACCUGAACAGAAGCAGACUUUUAAAAGCGGGUCCAGGGGAUCUGGAGCUGCUGAUGGUCUGGGUCCACCUCUACUUGCAGCAUCCAGGUGGACAUCAGAACCCUGCUGCCCAUCAGUCUGAGAAAGGUCAAAGGUCACCUAAGGUCAUCGUUCUGCAGAAUAAAAGAUGCAGUUUAUUAGAAAACUUUUAUUUUGGUAAAAAUAAUCGGAGUUUAGUUCCUGAAGAAAAGUCGAGUUUUUCUUCACUUUUUGACUUUCAGAAUAAACGUUUUAUUUUAGCUGAGUCAUGAUUGGUAAUGAUGGAAACCCAUCGGUCCAACAGCUGAACUGUUCGAAGUUUCAACACUGGCUUGGUUUAAUGGGAUUAAAACUGAGAUUAAGUUUUACUAACAGGAUUAAACUGUGGGAUGAUAAACCUGGACUUCAAAUUAUACUUCCUGGUUCGGUCCAACAACUGGAGCCGAUAUGGUUUUCUGUUUUAGACAAAGAUUUAAAAAAAUAAAGACAUUUAGUGUUUUGUUACUGUGGUGGGUCUUAUUGUGAAAGAACCACAGGACCUGCAGAACCAGAACCGGACUCUAAAAGGUGCAUAUUUAAUCUUCAACUCACUUUUCUUUUGUUCCAACCUUUGUUACUGAAAGCAGCUUCUUGUAAAUAAUGUUUUUCUCUUGUGAACGUUUGUUUUUCUUGAAUCCUAAGUGAAAUAAAAGUGUUUGGUUUGA